UACGGAGGGUCCAAGCGUUAUCCGGAAUCAUUGGGCGUAAAGGGCGCGUAGGCGGCCUGCUAAGUCGAACGUGAAAUCCCCGAGCUCAACUCGGGAACUGCGUCCGAUACUGGCAGGCUUGAAUCCGGGAGAGGGAUGCGGAAUUCCAGGUGUAGCGGUGAAAUGCGUAGAUAUCUGGAGGAACACCGGUGGCGAAGGCGGCAUCCUGGACCGGCAUUGACGCUGAGGCGCGAAAGCCAGGGGAGCAAACGGG
rnacentral:rRNA from 1 species